UACGUAGGGUGCGAGCGUUUAAUCGGAAUUACUGGGCGUAAAGCGUGCGCAGGCGGUUUUGUAAGCCAGAUGUGAAGCCCGGGCUUAACCUGGGAAUGGCAUUUGGGACUGCAAGGCUGGAGUGUGGCAGAGGAGACUGGAAUUCCUGGUGUAGCAGUGAAAUGCGUAGAUAUCAGGAGGAAUACCGAUGGCGAAGGCAGGUCUCUGGGCUGACACUGACGUC
rnacentral:rRNA from 1 species